rnacentral:rRNA from 1 species
AACGAACGCUGGCGGCAGGCUUAACGCAUGCAAGUCGAGCGCCCCGCAAGGGGAGCGGCAGACGGGUGAGUAACGCGUGGGAAUCUACCCAUCUCUAGGGAAUAACGCAUGGAAACGUGUGCUAAUACCGUAUACGUCCUUCGGGAGAAAGAUUUAUCGGAGAUGGAUGAGCCCGCGUGGGAUUAGCUAGUUGGUGGGGUAAAGGCCUACCAAGGCGACGAUCCAUAGCUGGUCUGAGAGGAUGAUCAGCCACACUGGGACUGAGACACGGCCCAGACUCCUACGGGAGGCAGCAGUGGGGAAUAUUGGACAAUGGGCGCAAGCCUGAUCCAGCCAUGCCGCGUGAGUGAUGAAGGCCCUAGGGUUGUAAAGCUCUUUCACCGGUGAAGAUAAUGACGGUAACCGGAGAAGAAGCCCCGGCUAACUUCGUGCCAGCCGCCGCGGUAAUAC